rnacentral:rRNA from 1 species
CAGUAGCCACGGUAACACGGAGGGUGCAAGCGUUAAUCGGAAUUACUGGGCGUAAAGCGCACGCAGGCGGUCUGUCAAGUCAGAUGUGAAAUCCCCGGGCUUAACCUGGGAACUGCAUUUGAAACUGGCAGGCUAGAGUCUUGUAGAGGGGGGUAGAAUUCCAGGCGUAGCGGUGAAAUGCGUAGAGAUCUGGAGGAAUACCGGUGGCGAAGGCGGCCCCCUGGACAAAGACUGACGCUCAGGUGCGAAAGCGUGGGGAGCAAACAGGAUUAGAUACCCCUGUAGUCCCUGUCUCUUAUAC